rnacentral:rRNA from 1 species
GACGAACGCUGGCGGCGUGCUUAACACAUGCAAGUCGAACGGAAAGGCCCUGCUUUUGUGGGGUGCUCGAGUGGCGAACGGGUGAGUAACACGUGAGUAACCUGCCCUUGACUUUGGGAUAACUUCAGGAAACUGGGGCUAAUACCGGAUAGGAGCUCCUGCUGCAUGUUGGGGGUUGGAAAGUUUCGGCGGUUGGGGAUGGACUCGCGGCUUAUCAGCUUGUUGGUGGGGUAGUGGCUUACCAAGGCUUUGACGGGUAGCCGGCCUGAGAGGGUGACCGGCGACAUUGGGACUGAGAUACGGCCGAGACUCCUACGGGAGGCAGCAGUGGGGAAUAUUGCACAAUGGGCGGAAGCCUGAUGCAGCAACGCCGCGUGCGGGAUGACGGCCUUCGGGUUGUAAACCGCUUUCGCCUGUGACGAAGCGUGAGUGACGGUAAUGGGUAAAGAAGCACCGGCUAACUACGUG